UUGUGUGAAGGCGAAAAAUUAAACAUAAAUUUACUUUUUGGAAAUGUGUAACCUCUGAUUUAUUAUUUCCUGAUGACUCCUUUUAUGUUUUUCUGUUUUCCUUCUUUUUUUUUUUGUUUUUGUUAAAUGGGAUAAGAUGAAGAACAAAAUUAUAUCCUUGUCAGACUUUUCAAUUGUGUGCAAAAAAAAAGUUUUGUUAAAAAUUUUAGACUUAUACACUUUGGAAGGAAGAUUAAUUUAUUAUCUUCAAAAGUAUUAUUGUUUCAUUAAUUGAAGAAAGCAAUAAAUCAAAAGACUGGCAGUAAAAUUAGAGAUGGAGUUGGCGCGUUCGGAAUUUUUGUUGUAAAAAAGGGGCAAAAGUCACAAACUAAAACAAAAUUCUAAUUUAAACGAUAAACAAAGGUUCUUAAACUAAAAGCCGGAUACAUUUUACCUAAAUGUCUAUAACCAGCAGACUAGAAAGACUCUCCUAAUGUUACCUCAUUUGUCAAAUUAGGGUAAGGUGGUAUUAGAGUGCGCAUUUUAGACAAAACACCAAAUAAAACAAUAACAAAAAGAA